rnacentral:rRNA from 1 species
ACAGGACGUCACAGAGGGUGAGAAUCCCGUGCGAUGAGAUGACCCGGGUCUGUGUAAAGUUCCUUCGACGAGUCGAGUUGUUUGGGAAUGCAGCUCUAAGUGGGUGGUAAAUUCCAUCUAAAGCUAAAUAUUGGCGAGAGACCGAUAGCGAACAAGUACAGUGAUGGAAAGAUGAAAAGAACUUUGAAAAGAGAGUGAAAAAGUACGUGAAAUUGUUGAAAGGGAAGGGCUUGAGAUCAGACUUGGUAUUUUGCAUGUUGCUCUCUCGGGGGCGGCCGCUGCGGUUUACCGGGCCAGCAUCGGUUUGGAGCGGCAGGAUAAUGGCGGAGGAAUGUGGCACGGCUUCUGCUGUGUGUUAUAGCCUCUGACGAUACUGCCAGCCUAGACCGAGGACUGCGGUUUUUACCUAGGAUGUUGGCAUAAUGAUCUUAAGUCGCCCGUCUUGAAC